rnacentral:rRNA from 1 species
GUCUGUUUGAUUCAACAAACAGUCUGGCCUGCCCACUGAUUUUUUUUAAAGGCCGCGGUAUAAUGACCGUGCGAAGGUAGCAUAAUAAUUAGUCUUUUAAUUGAAGACUGGAAUGAAAGGUCGGACAAAAAGUGACCUGUCUCAUUAUCUAGAAAUUGAAAUUAACUUUUAAGUGAAAAGGCUUAAAUACUUAAAAAGGACGAUAAGACCCUAUAAAACUUUAUAAAAUUUUUGAUAAUUCCACAAAUUAUUAGUCUAACAGGUAUUAUUGUUAAUUUUAUUUCGUUGGGGCGACGAAAGUAUAAAAACUAACUGCUUUUUCCUACAAACAAUUAUAUUUGUAAUCUGAUCCUUUUUUAAGAUCCAAAGAAAAGUUACUUUAGGGAUAACAGCGUUAUUUUUUUUAAGAGUCCAUAUCGACAAAAAAGUUUGCGACCUCGAUGUUGAAUUAAGAUCCCAUUAUGGUGCAGCAAUUAUAAAGGGAGGUCUGUUCGACCUUUAAAUCUUACAUGAUUUGAGUUCAACCGGGGUAG